GCCUUCUUUUCCUUCAAUCUCCCGUGGUGGUUGUGGCUGGCGUGGCGGAGCUGUAGUCGUGGCACGCUGUUUACGGAGGGUCGGGCUUCCACACAGCGUGAGUGGCUGCUGGGGUGUGGAGAGCUGACUGCUCUGCUGAAUGCGGUGUGCUCGGCUGGAUGUCUGCUCCGAUCACUGGACAGCCGAAUCGUGGGAUCUGAGGCGUUGACGCUUGUCUCGGUUCCUGUGUGUGUCAACUUAGCGAGGCGGCAGGCUUGGGCUGUGCGCCGCCGUCACUCUCUGAGGGAGCGCUGCUGCUGUUCUGGCUCUGCCGGGUUUUCAUCCAUCCGUCUGGCUGUCUUCCUGCUCGGAUUGUCUCCGGUGUGGAGCGGACAGACAGCGUUGCGACCUGGCGUGACGCUGCCUGGUUGCGGGACCUGGACUCACCAGCGGACCAGACUCGGGCCAUCUUAAUAGUCGUGUUUAUUUUGUGUGUUUAUGCUAUGUUGGUGUCUAAUUAUGUUGCAUGGGUUUUUUGAGUUUUAAUCUUUGUGCA